GCCUGGGUGGCUCAGCUGGUUAAGCAUCUGAUUUCAGCUCAGGUCAAGAUCUCAUGGUCCGUAGGUUCAAAUCCCAUGUCAGGCU
rnacentral:tRNA from 1 species